rnacentral:rRNA from 1 species
UACAGAGGGUGCAAGCGGUAUUCGGAUUUAUUGGGCGUAAAGAGCGCGUAGGUGGUUCGAUAAGUCUGGUGUGAAAGCCCUGGACUCAAUCCAGGAAGUGCAUUGGAUACUGUCGGACUAGAGUAUGGGAGAGGAGAGCGGAAUUCCAGGUGUAGAGGUGAAAUUCGUAGAUAUCUGGAGGAACAACAGUAGCGAAGGCGGCUCUCUGGACCAUUACUGACACUGAGGCGCGAAAGCGUGGGGAGCAAACAGG